rnacentral:lncRNA from 14 species
ACCACUGUGUCCAGCACAGCCUCAGACUCUUCAUCCACCUCAACCCCCACUAGAACCAGCAUAGCUUCCAGCUCUGGCUUGAGCACGGCCCACAGUAACCCUAUACUGACAGUUUCAACUGGAACACAUAUCACCUCCAGUCACACUGGGACUCCGGGGAUGGAGGUGAAGCCCAGUGGGUCUCUGAAGCCCUGGGAAAUCUUUCUCAUCACCCUGGCUUCUGUGGUCAUGGUCACAGGACUCUGUGCUGGGCUCUUCAUUUAUGUGAGAAGAUAUCUGUCUCUGAGAAAUGCUGUUGAUGGAAUAUUCUACAACCCCCACAACUCUCACCUUGGUCCUGGAGGAUCCCAUAUGACUCCGGGGAGCCCUACUUCUUCCUGGAGGAGACCAGUAGUAACCUCCGAGGUCAUAGCAAUGAAUGGGCUAUGACUAUUGCCGACGAAGCCCAGGAACUCGUCCUUCUGAGGAGACCCGAGCCACUGCUUCUUCUGCAUAACCCUUUCGGAGUCCCUUUCUAGCUUUGUUCCAGCCCCCGACAUCCUUGAGAAAGAUACGUUCUUCUCUUCUGUCUUUACUAGACCACAUGAAGAAGGAUAAUGCAUUGUUUGGUCAUUUCACAAAGAAAUAAAAACACCCAACAUGGCUGAA